GGACGGGUGGCCGAGUGGUCUAUGGCAGCGGUCUUGAAAACCGCCGGGGGGGCAACUCCUCCGUGGGUUCGAAUCCCACCCCGUCCG
rnacentral:tRNA from 1 species